CCUACGGGCGGCAGCAGUAGGGAAUUUUCGUCAAUGGGCGCAAGCCUGAACGAGCAAUGCCGCGUGAACGAGGAAGGUCUUCGGAUCGUAAAGUUCUGUUGAAGGGGAAAAAGAGCGGAGAGAGGAAAUGAACUCCGAUUGAUAUUACCCUUCGAGGAAGUGACGGCUAACUACGUGCCAGAAGCCGCGGUAAUACGUAAGUGGCGAGCGUUAUCCGGAAUGAUUGGGCGUAAAGGGUGCGUAGGCGGCCUGCUAAGUCUGGAGUGAAAGGUACAGGCUCAACCGGUAUAGGCUCUGGAAACUGGCGGGCUAGAGAGCAGGAGAGGGCGGUGGAACUCCAUGUGUAGCGGUAAAAUGCGUAGAUAUAUGGAAGAACACCAGUGGCGAAGGCGGCCGCCUGGCCUGUUACUGACGCUGAGGCACGAAAGCGUGGGGAGCAAAUAGGAUUAGAUACCCCAGUAGUC
rnacentral:rRNA from 1 species